CCUACGGGUGGCAGCAGUGAGGAAUAUUGGUCAAUGGGCGAGAGCCUGAACCAGCCAAGUCGCGUGAAGGAUGACGGCCCUACGGGUUGUAAACUUCUUUUGUCAGGGAGCAAUUGGGUCCACGCGUGGGCUUAGCGAGAGUACCUGAAGAAAAAGCAUCGGCUAACUCCGUUCCAGCAGCCGCGGUAAUACGGAGGAUGCGAGCGUUAUCCGGAUUUAUUGGGUUUAAAGGGUGCGUAGGCGGAAUAUCAAGUCAGCGGUAAAAAUUCGGGGCUCAACCCCGUCGUGCCGUUGAAACUGAUGUUCUUGAGUGGGCGAGAAGUAUGCGGAAUGCGUGGUGUAGCGGUGAAAUGCAUAGAUAUCGCGCAGAACUCCGAUUGCGAAGGCAGCGUACCGGCGCCAGACUGACGCUGAGGCACGAAAGCGUGGGGAUCGAACAGGAUUAGAUACCCCGGUAGUC
rnacentral:rRNA from 1 species